rnacentral:rRNA from 1 species
AUUGAACGCUGGCGGCAGGCCUAACACAUGCAAGUCGAACGAGUGCCGUCCGGGUGAGUAAUGUCUGGGAAACUGCCUGAUGGCGGGGGAUAACUCCUGGAAAUGUUAGCUAAUACCGCAUACCAUCGGAUGUGCCCAGAUGGGAUUGUCUAGUAGGUGGGGUAAAGGCUCCCCUAGGCGACGAUCUCUAGCUGGUCUGAGAGGAUGACCAGCCACACUGGAACUGAGACACGGUCCAGACUCCUACGGGAGGCAGCAGUGGGGAAUAUUGCACAAUGGGCGCAAGCCGGAUGCAGCCAUGCCGCGUGUAUGAAGAAGGCCUUCGGGUUGUAAAGUACUUUCAGCGGGGAGGCGUUACCCGCAGGAGAAGCACCGGCUAACUCCGUGCCAGCAGCCGCGGUAAUAC